rnacentral:rRNA from 1 species
UACGUAGGCAGCAAGCGUUGUUCGGAAUUACUGGGCGUAAAGAGUGUGUAGGCGGUGCUCUAAAGUUUGGUGUGAAAUCUCCCGGCUCAACUGGGAGGGUGCGCCGAAAACUGGAAUGCUUGAACAUGGGGAGAGGAAAGCGGAAUUCCUGGUGUAGCGGUGAAAUGCGUAGAUAUCAGGAGGAACACCUGCGGUGUAGACGGCUUUCUGGACCAUUGUUGACGCUGAGACACGAAAGCGUGGGUAGCAAACAGG